rnacentral:rRNA from 1 species
UACGGAGGGGGCUAGCGUUGUUCGGAAUUACUGGGCGUAAAGGGCGCGUAGGCGGUGCGAUCAGUCAGGCGUGAAAGGCCCGGGCUCAACCCGGGGACUGCGCUUGAUACUGUUGCGCUGUGAGUCCGGGAGAGGAUGGCGGAAUUCCCAGUGUAGAGGUGAAAUGCGUAGAUAUCAGGAGGAACACCUGCGGUGUAGACGGCUUUCUGGACCAUUGUUGACGCUGAGACACGAAAGCGUGGGUAGCAAACAGG